CAAUUAGUGGAUCUCUUGGUGGGUGCUAGUUUGCGCUCAGUGCUAAGGACAUAAGGUGCAUAAUCCGUUGACCCUCGGAUAUCGGGUGAAGCGGAGGGCGAGGGCGACGACGAGGACGGGUACACGGCGCGCGCCCUGUACGACUACCAGGCCGCCGCGCCCGAUGAGAUCUCCUUCGACCCUGAUGACGUCAUCACCAACAUCGUCAUGAUUGACGAGGGUUGGUGGCAAGGGCUUUGCAAAGGCGCGUACGGCCUCUUUCCCGCCAACUACGUACAGCUACAGGACAAAUAAACAAGCUACAGCGCCACCUACUCACAUUCCUACUGAACUAACGAACGUAUGCAGUUCACAUCGAUCAAGGUAGAUUUAUAGCAAAAGUUGUUGUGAUUGGUUGAGCAUGACCCUAUAAAUUGGUUUUAUUAUCUUCUCUUUAAAAAUGUCUAGAUAGUGAACCAGUAUUUCUAGUCUCUGGUACAGUUAGUACGAUUUUUUAGGUAUACAAGAACAGACAAGAGAAAUUAUUCCUUUAUCUAUGGCUUGAUCAAUCAUGACAUUAUUUUAUAAUUAUUUUCAAGGACUAACAGAAUGUAUGUAUGCACUUUGUAAACAUAGCACUUUUUUACAAUAUUUUGCCAAGUCUUAAUAUUUUUUAUACAGGAUAGUGUAAAUAAUUUAAGCAAAAUUAAUCUUCGUAUCGAUAUUUCAUAGAGUAAGUAAAAAAAUAAACUGAUAAAUCACACUAAAUUCCACUUUAGAUUUGGAGAAAAAAAGAACGUUGUAAUUGUUUUUUUGAUUCGUUUGAAAUAUUUAUAAUGUCAAUAAAUUGCAAAUCAAGCUUUAUUUUAAUAAACAGGUAACAUUUAAGUUGUACUUAAAUAAUACUCAAAAAUGAAAUUAUUGAUACAAAGAUCAAAAUAUCAAGAUGGCUGUGGCUGUCACGUGACCUUUUAAAAAUAUUGUAAACUAAUUUUAAGAAUACGAUAAUCAUGCUUCGUAAAGACAAAACAAAUUGUUACUGUUGAAUAAAAGCAAUCUAGCUUAGAAAUAUACAAAAUAUCGACUAGAUGUAGAGUUUAAUAUGGUUCUUAUAAACAUGAAAUAAUAGGGUACUAGAAAUAUCCACAGAACACCAAUAGGUAGACAUUAAAUUGUAAAUUAAAGAACAUGGAAGUUUAUAAAAAACACAAUUUUCCCCCUCUAGCGUUCUUUGUUCGUCAUCAAGUUAAAGUUUCAUCAUUUUUGGAUCUUAAGACAAUUUAAGGCAAUAAAAAUCUUAAAAUGUUGAAAGAUUUUAUUUUAAUGAUCUUAAAAACGACGUUUCAUGCGACUCUUAGUUCUUUUGUCAUGAAUAUCGUCUAUUGACAUCCCAACUAAUAUUAUAAAUGCGAAAGUAACUCUGUCUGUCUGUCUGUCUGUUACGCUUUCCCGCUUAA